CAAGACGCGGGCAUGGCCCCACCGCUCCAAGCUGCACCCGAGGAGUAAAAGAUGCCUGAAGCCGGAGACUACACCCAAACCUCUUCCACACCUGAAGACACGGGGUAAAGACACACAGACUUAUGGACAGGACUUGAACUACCCCACCCCCGCCUUGUUAUUUUGGACUUAUACCCACGACGCUACCACCGCAAGCAUGGAAGAACAGACCAGAAGAAUGCCUGCCCUUGGGAACAGAAGAC